rnacentral:lncRNA from 1 species
UUAACAAAGAAAAGUAGUUGAGCAUGAAAUAGAAAAUACACACGACUUCUUUAAAAUAUCAAAAAUAUUGGGGAAUUAUUCCAUCAAUUUCCUCUAAGAAAUAAGAAUAUAGGUUUCUUAUUGCCUGUAAAAAACUUAAAACAAGAAAUCAUGAAAAUGAAAAAGCUUAUUUUCAUCAUACGAAUGCAAAAAACUCGUUUAAU